rnacentral:lncRNA from 1 species
UUCCUUUGAUUAAACAAUUCAGACCCUUGGCUCUUAUUGUUCUUGCUGGUGUGGUAUGUUCACGGCUGAAAAGAUGGUCAGAAGGGGAAAGGAGGAAGUGAGAAGAAAGAAACAGGGAAAUGAGUGUUGCUCAGUUACCCAGGCUGGAGUGCAAUGGCAUGAUCUUGGCUCACUGCAGCCUCCACCUCCUGGGUUCAAGCGGUUCUCGUGCCUCAGUCUCCCAAGUAGCUGGGAUUACAGGCUGGAGUGCGAUGGCAUGAUCUUGGCUCACGGCAAACUCCGCCUCCCUGGUUCAAGUGAUUCUCCUGCCUCAGCCUCCCGAGUAGCCGGGAUUACAGGCAUGUGCCACCAUGCCCCGUUGGCCAGGCUGGUCUCGAACACCUUACCUCAGGUGAUCCUCCCACCUUUGGGAUUACAGACCCUGCAUGUGAUGGAUCAGCUGACACCAUCCAGAUCGGUAAACUGGUUCAUCUGAUCUUGUGCCCUCCACCCAGGAACUGACUCAGCGCAAGAAGACAGCUUCGACUCCUUGUGAUUUCAUCCCUAACCAAUCAGCACUCCUGGCUCACUGGCUUCCCCCAACCCACCAAAUUGUCCUUAAAAACUCUGCUCUCCAAACGCUGGGGGAGACUGAUUUGAGUAAUAAUAAAACCCUGGUCUCC